rnacentral:rRNA from 1 species
GAUGAACGCUAGCUACAGGCUUAACACAUGCAAGUCGAGGGACCGGCGCACGGGUGAGUACCACGUAUCCAACCUGCCCUUUACUCUGGGAUAUCCUUUCGAAAGAAAGAUUAAUACCCGAUAUAAAGGCUAGGGAUGCGUUCCGUUAGGUUGUUGGUGAGGUAACGGCUCACCAAGCCUUCGAUGGAUUGGGGUUCUGAGAGCCAGGUCCCCAACAAUGGAACUGAGGCACGGUCCACACUGCGAGGGGAGGGAGCAGAGUGGAGUAUAGGUGAAGGGGCGCUAGCCUGACCCAGCCAAGUAGAGUGAAGGAUGAAGGCUUAUGGGUGGUAAUCUUCUGGGAUAUAAGAAUAUGUAUUAUAUGAAUAAGGAUCGGCUAACUCCGUGCCAGCAGCCGCGGUAAUAC